GUUUAUGUAGUUUAAUAAAAAAACAAGUUAUUUUCAAUAACUAGAAAAGAAGUUUCUUAAAUU
rnacentral:tRNA from 1 species